GACGAACGCUGGCGGCGUGCCUAACACAUGCAAGUCAACUUGACUGAAGGAGCAAUCUGACAGUAGAGUGGCGCAAGGGUGCGUAACGCGUAAGUAACUUGCCCAAGGUAAGGAAUAACGUCGAGAAAUCGGCGCUAAUACCUCAUAAUGCAGCGGAUCCGCAUGGAUAUGUUGUUAAAGGUUUACCGCCUUGGGAUAGGCUUGCGUCUGAUUAGUUAGUUGGUGUGGUAACGGCACACCAAGGCUACGAUCAGUAACUGGUCUGAGAGGAUGAUCAGUCACACUGGAACUGAGACACGGUCCAGACUCCUACGGGAGGCAGCAGUGAGGAAUAUUGGGCAAUGCUCGAAAGAGUGACCCAGCAACGCCGCGUGGAGGAUGAAGGUAUUCUAUAUCGUAAACUCCUGUGAGAGCAGACGAAAGACAGAUUAUUAAUCUGAUGACUGUAUGCUCAGAGGAAGCCCCGGCUAACUACGUGCCAG
rnacentral:rRNA from 1 species